UAUGAGUUAAGGUCUCUAAAUUUAAAAAAUUUGGCGGUAAAUUAUUUUACUAGAGGAAUUUGUUUAAUAAAUGAUAUUACACAAUUUAUCUUUCUUUAAUUUAUUAUUAUUAAUUUAUAUAUCGUCGUUUUGAGUAUUUUUAUAGAAUAAAUUCUCUUUUAUUUUGUUAAAUUUAAAAUCAGAUCUAGAUGUAGUUUAUAUUAAAGAAUUAAAAUGAAUUACAUUUUUGAUAAAAAAUUAUGAAUAAUUUUUUGUAAUUAGAAUUUUGAAGGAGGAUUUAGUAGUAAUAAAUUAUUAAAAUGAUUUUAUGAAACUUACAAAUACUAAUUUAUGU
rnacentral:rRNA from 1 species